GCAGCUGUGCGACUCUGACUCCCGUGGGCUGUGACAAAGGAUACUCUCUCCUGAUCCAGACCCCAGGAACCUUUAACCAUUAUCCUAGAGCACAAGGAGAUUUGGGGAGAUUUAAAUGAAAUUUUUCAAAAAAAGAUAGUCAAGUAUUCUCAUUAUCCUGCUGCUCCCAUCCAACUUUCCACCUCUCUGCACAUUUGCUUCCUUUAAGAAAAUCUGCUCAUUUAUUUUGUGAGCCUUAGCAAGAUCCCAGGCCUUGAAGUUCUGGCUCUUCGAGGUUGGAGAUCCUAAAGAAUAUUGAGAAUUGUAUUGAUUGAGGUUUUCUUGGUGUUAUACAGCAAUGCCCAUGUACUCAAGGAGCCUUUUUGAGAACAUGCUAAUUCGACAGAGAAUCAGCAGCCAACACUGUUGUCUUAAGAAGAGGACUGAAGAGGAAAAGACAAUGCUGAGAGCCUUACUGACCUCUUUCAACAGCCUCCCCACAUGCAGCUGCUUUUGGGAAGCAAAUGUGGGGCAGUCAGAGGAUCUAAAAAGUAUGGGGAUUCACUGCUGUAUAUCACAUGUAUAUCAUGUGAAUAACAUCUUUCAAUUAGGAGCAUCCCACAUUCACCCAGCUCCUUGUGGUACAUGGAUCACAUACAUACAUGGUACCAGGAUGUGCAACAGUUUUCUCACUUUCUAGAAACAACAUUUGCUGCAAGGAUGUGAAUAUUGUCAUCAUGUCAAUGAAGGUCUACACAAUGCUGAGUUCUCUGAUUUCUGUAUUUCCUCACUGAAUUCUAGAGCAUGACAGAAAUCCUCUGUUCUACGAGACAAGAAGGGAACUCGUACCAUGAAAGAUUGAAAGAGACUAGGGGCUGUUGAAAGCCCCUUAUAAAAUCUUUUCAUCCAGCUUCAGAAUCUGUACCAGCCCAAGCAUUUCCCAUCUAUGCCUGAUAGAGAAUUUUGACACUGACUUCAUGUCCUGUAGGAUUUUGAGAACAUUAAUAAACUUUCUGGGAGCGCAUUUAUUUAAUCA
rnacentral:lncRNA from 1 species